rfam:Capsicum annuum cultivar Zunla-1 chromosome 7, whole genome shotgun sequence
GCAUCCAUGGAUAAAUGGUUAAAGUGCCCAACUCAUAAUUGAAAAAUUCGUCGGUUCAAUUCCUACUAGAUGCA